rnacentral:rRNA from 1 species
UACUUUCAGCAGUGAGGAAGGUGGAUAUGUUAAUAGCAUAUCUAUUUGACGUUAGCUGCAGAAGAAGCACCGGCUAACUCCGUGCCAGCAGCCGCGGUAAUACGGAGGGUGCGAGCGUUAAUCGGAAUUACUGGGCGUAAAGCGCAUGCAGGUGGUUUGUUAAGUCAGAUGUGAAAGCCCGGGGCUCAACCUCGGAAUUGCAUUUGAAACUGGCAAACUAGAGUACUGUAGGAGGGGGUAGUAAUUUCAGGUGUAGCGGUAGAAAUGCGUAGAGAUCUGAAGGAAUACCGGUGGCGAAGNGGCCCCCCUGGACAGAUACUGACACUCAGAUGCGAAAGCGUGGGGAGCAAACAGGAUUAGAUACCCUGGUAG